rfam:Anaerococcus lactolyticus ATCC 51172 genomic scaffold SCAFFOLD2, whole genome shotgun sequence.
AUAUUUUUAGGGAAUGAAGUACUCCCUUGAUAAUUAUAAUCUAAAACGCGUUGGCUGAUGACUUCUACAUUUUU